UCCCGGAAAUGAGUCUAAAAAUUAUGGCAUGUAACUCAUUGUAUUGACGGCAAAAACAACGGAAUUACACGAAAUUAUGAAAAUCGAGCACAUGUUACUGACGUAGUACACAUGUCACUGACGUAGUACACAGGUUUAUUGCGUAGUACACAGGUCUAUUGAGCGCGCAACAUUCAAAGACGGCAAAAACUUCGUCUCAUACCAACAGUGAAUUGAUGAUAUCAUCUCCCCAAUAAAGAUAUACAACGAGGAAGGUGAAAUUGCUCAAGCAAAUUAUCAGAAAAAGACCUUCAAAGCUGCAAUCGGUGAUAUUCACAGUCCUGCUGACAGUGUCCAAUAUGAAAGUUCAUCGAAAAGGCAGGAACUGCUAGGGGUUGUAAUGUGUAGUUGAGGCUAGAUCUGACGGAUGGGAGGAUGAGUGCAGAAGCCUGCAUAGAAAGAUUUGGCGCAUGGAGGAGCGGAUUACUGCUUUAGAGUGUCAGAAUACAAAAGUGGAGGACCCCGAAUUAUAAGCUGUGGAACAUGUAAGUGAUACUCAAGAAGUCUUGGUUACAUUAGCAAAGACUAUCUUCACUGUGGAGGAACUUAGAAACCACUCUAGGACUGGAAAGAUGACCCAAUAAGUGCAAGGAUUACCCGAGACCACCACUUGAACCCAUGAAACUCAGCAAUUUUUAAAGACUAGUGAGGAAGAAAACCGGUGUAUCAAAAGAAGUAUUUAAUAAAAAACUAGAGAACUUACAAAAGGUCAUCAGAAGGAAAUAAAUCACAAAAUAAGUGAAACAUUGGAAACUAAACAAACUAAUUUCAAGUUCUUGGUUUUUGCACUUUUGAAAAUCAGCAAGCUGUAUUGAAGAAACUAUUUCUUAAUUCUUGUUUAACAAAGAUGUGUAGUUUUUAAAUUUUACAUGUAGUUUUACAUGUUUGUGGUUUACUUUUUAACAAUAUAGCUUAGAGCUUAUGUUGAGUACAUAUUGUUUAGACUUGUCAGUCCACAAAUUGAUUGGUAUCAUCUGUCUGCUCUGGUCUUGCAUUUUUCAUGAAUGUGAAAUAAUGUAAAUGUAGUUUAGGAACUGUUCAUGAACUGUAGUACUUGAACUGUUCUUGCACUUUUUGUGUUUUAUUAAAACAAUAUUAUUAACUUUAGGAAAUCUUAUUUGGGAGUAAGAGUGCAUCUUUAACAAGGAAAUAUUAUAAAACAAAGCAGAAGUGAAUAACCAAAAUAACUGUUUAGUUUAGAUCUAAAAAAAUGUGUUGAGACUCAAUACUUACUAUUAUAUAUAUAUAAAGCCAACAAAUGUAUAUAAAAUAUUUGCUAUUAUAUCUGCUCUUUGGAAUGAUUUUGUAUUUUCAACUUAUUCAACUACUAUAUCCAGUGAUUUUUAUGCCCCCGAAGGUGGGCAUAUUAAUUAAAAUCGCACUGUCCGUCCGUCCGGCUCUGUAUUUGGUAGUAUUCUACCAAAAUUUACCGCUGGUAUUUCAGAGGAAUUCCACUAGAAAACCAGUGGUAAACUUUUAAUGGAAUACCACAAAAGUUUACCGCUGGUAUUUCAGUAGAAUUCCACUGGAAAACCAGCGGUAAACUUUUAGUGGAAUACCACCAAAUUUUACCGCUGGUAUUUCAGUGGAAUUCCACUGAAAUACCAUCGGUAAAAUUUGGUUGAAUUCCACUGGUAUUCCAGUGGAAUUCCACUGAAAUACCAGCGGUAAAAUUUGGUGGUAUUCCACUAAAAGUUUACCGCUGGUAUUUCAGUGGUAUUCCAGUGGAAUUCCACUGAAAUACCAGCGGUAAACUUUUAGUGGAAUACCACCAAAAUUUACCGCUGGUAUUCCACUGAAAAUCCACUGGAAUACCAGCGGUAUUCCAGUGGUAUUCUAGUGGUAUUCCACUGAAUUUUUUACUGG